ensembl:lncRNA
GUGGGAACAGGAGGUGCAGGUGGUGCUGGGUGUGCAGGAAGUCCUGCAGAGUUUAGAGCAGGCAGCGGAAAAGCUCAGGCAAGCAGCUGGCUGGCUGCAGGGCCGGGAGGAGGAGACGGGGCUGUAGCAAAGCAGGAAUCAGAGCCCACAGGUCUGGAAGCGCCCCAGGAAGGUGAGGUUCUGAGGCUGACAGAAGACCCGCAUGUGAUGAGCACAUCCUCCCAUGUCAUCAGAUGUGGCUCUCCGGGGCAAUGUAAUAUUCAGGGGCAGGUGGGCUCAAGGAACCAUGGAGGUGCUGGGAGGAGAGGAGAAAGAAAGGGAAAGAAGGCCCAUCUUAACUUGGCCAUUACGUUCCCUGUGUUCCAGGUGGUUCAUCGUCUCUCUGAUGAGUUUCGAGGGCUGAUGAGGGAGAGACAGAACUUCCUGGCUAGGGCCCUGGGUCAGCUACGGUACCGACGGGAAUGGAGCCGCCUCCAGAUCCUGCACACCCAGACGACUGCCUCAGGAAGCCCUGUGUGUUUGGAGAAUUACCCUGGACACAUAUUCUAUGCAACAGUCACAACUUCUGUCAGGGACCGGGCCACUGCCUGUCCCGUGUUGAUCCCUUUCCUGAAGCAACUCACUGCAGCUCAAGGGCUGGAGGAUCAGAGGCCAGGAACAGGUCAGGCUGGUCCCUACUCCAGCGUUGCCUCCUGCUGCCAAUCCUGGCCAUGUUUCGGUAAGUCCUAAUGCUACACUUACAAUUCCCAGCAGCAUAGGAGUGUGUCCCCAGUAGGUUCUUCAGGAAAAACAUUCGAGGAACCCAAUGCAUUAGUUAUUGAUCGCCAUGUAAGAAAUGACCCCAAAAUCUGAUGGCUUAAAAUGACAUUUAUUUUCUCACAGUUUCUUUGGGCUAAAGAUCUGGAUGCAGCAUAGCUGGAUGCAUCUGGCCCAGGGUCUCCACAAGCUACAAGUAGGCCAGGACUGCAGUCAUCUCAAGGCUUGACUGCAGGAGGAUGGAGGAUUCACUUCCGAGCUCACUCUUGUGGCUAUUGGUAGACCCCAAGUCCUCGUUGGCUGUUGGCCAGAGACAACAACUCCUGCCACAAGAUCUUCGUGGGCAGCUCACAACAUGGCAGCUGGCUGCUCUCAGAGCAAGCAGGCCAGAGAGUGAGAGAGGGUAAGCAAAGUAGAAGCCAAAGUCCUUUUUUGAAACAGAGUCUCUCUCUGUCACUGAGGCCGGAGUGCAGUGGUGCAAUCUCUGCUCACCGCAACCUCCGCCUCCCAGGUUCAAGCAAUUCUCCUGUCUCAGCCCCCCAAGUAGCUGAGAUUACAGGUGCAUGCCACCAUGCCCGGCUAAUUUUUUUUGUAUUUUUAGUAGAGACAGGGUUUCGCCAUGUUGGCCAGGCUGGUCUCAAACUCCUGGCCUCCUAAAGUGCUGGGAUUACAGGUGUGAGCCACCACACCCACACCCACCAUCUUUUUGACUCUUAAUCUCAGAAAUGACAGCCCAUCACUUUUGCCAUGUUCUAUCCAUUUGGCUACACCAUUAGAUCCAACCCACACGCAAGGGGAAGGAAUUAUACAAGGGCAUGGAUACACGUCAGGGGGUCGCUGGGGCCAUCUUAGAGGCUGCCUGUCAUACCUGAUGCUACAUCUGGCCCCUUUUGGCUUUGACCACCUCCCUAGGCCCUCACCCCAAUAACCAUUGUAUUCCCCUCUGUUCAGAUACAGAUAAAGCUAACAUCAUCUGGGCUUCACCAUUCUUCUCCAUCCUGAAGAAAACAGAUAAUCUGGCCCCAAGACCACAAGGAAGACACUGAACUGCAAAAACAAGUGUAUCACAAACCAGGUAACCUCCUUUUCCCUUGUAGGCCCUGUUUGGAAUUAUCAUGGGAGCACUGAAGGUAUGUGAUGGUAUAACCCCUGGGAUCUAGGAAUGUCAGAAUCCUGCCUUGCCAAACAUCUCUUUCUCUCUACCUCCACACUAAGGUUCCCCAAGUGAUUUUCCCAUAUAAGGAAUAACAAAUAGCAAUCAAAGUAACCCUAUAAUUAUAACUGGGCCAAUUUCCAAAAGGGAAUUUCCAAAGACCUCUGCCUUCCCACCAAAGGCUGAAUCUCAAUCUUGGGACUUCACCCCAUACCAGCCAGCCACAUGUUAGAAGGGGCUAAUGGAAAGGUAUAAGGCAGAAAAGGGAGAAAAUGAAAAGGGACAAAAACAGAGCUAAUGAACAAAGAAGAGACCUUGCUCCCCAAAGGGACCCCAAAUCACUUUAUCAGUGCCCCUCCCUGGAAUUGGAAGUCAAGAGAGAAUGUGGCUUGCCUAACCUGAAGAGCCAGGUCUGUUUCAACUGACACACCUCCCAAAUGGAAGAGAAGUAACAGAAAAUGAAUGUGUGCCUGUCAGUAGACCACAGUGCAGGCUCCAGGUAAGCACAGAGCCAUGAACACCCCUGAACUUGAGCAGGGAAGUGCAGACUAUGGCCCACAGGCCAUCCUCAGCCUGCUACCCGGCCCACAAGCUAAGAAA